CCCCUCUCUCUUUGGCUACUGCAACUUUAGUAACAUGCCUCCACAAUGUGUUUUCUUCCACUGGAAUACAUUGUGAUGGUUGGUUGACAGAAUUAGAGCCUCCUGUACUUGUAGUUGUAGCCGAGUUUGACAUGAACUCCAUUACUGAAUAAGAUUGCAAGCAACUGAAAUUAAUAAAUAUUCUCUUGCGACAAGUAAAUCAAGCUGUAUAACAGUUCUUAAAUUAUUGCAAUUUACCAUUUAUAACUCAAGCUUAACACAUUGUCAAAAUAUAAAUCAAAUCUUCCAUAUAUAAUAUAACCAACCAAAUCAAAUCUUCCAUAUAUAACAAACCAAAUCUUUUAAAAUUCAAAAAUCAAAACGUAUCAGAGAUAUAUACUAAUACCAGUAUACCACAUAACCCCAAAUCACCAAUUAAUCAAUCAUACCAUACCAAAGAUAUAAAUAUACACACACACGAGCAAUUAUAUAUACAUACACACGAGUAGAUAUACAAAAACACAAAAACACACUUACCAAACGAAAUAGUUGAGCUGGAGAUCUUGAUUUGAUUGAAGAUUGAUGAUUGAAGUUGAGCUGGAGUCGAUUUGAUUGAAGAUUGAUGAUUGAAGU
rnacentral:lncRNA from 1 species